UGUGUAUGUGGGUUGUCUAUGUAUGUGUGUGUGUGUGUGGUGUGGUGUGUAUGUGGGCUAUCUCNNNNNNNNNNUGUGUGUGUGUGUGUGUGUGUGUGUGUGUGUGUGUGUGUGUGUGUGUGUAUUCAAGAAUUAUCAGGGACUUCUCUCCUAGGUUCCUGCUCAGCUUCUCUUCUUUCCACCACAGAGUCCAGCGAGAGGCCAUACCGUGGCAACCAUUUGAGCUGGUUCCCUGGAGGCAUUUCUCCACUUUUCAACUGUCCAUACUUCAGAGUGGAACAGUCAUGGCUGCAACACCAGGACCCAGGCAUAGGCUGCAGGAUUCAAGACCUCAGCUCAACUAGAGAUCAAGCUGUCUGCACAUAGCCCAUUGCCACACAGUGGGGAAAGGAAGUAAAUUGAUGAGCUUACUCCAGAUGAGUCUCCAUUCAAAAUCAAGAAAUAGCCCACUCUCUAUGAUGUAGAACUAUCUGGAAGAGCUCAAUUCGGGACUUGCCAACAUGAUGUUCUACCUGCUGCUUUGAUAAAUUGGUCUGAUGUGACAGAGUGAACUUGUAGAUCACAGAAGGCAGCCAGGGUUUACCUAUGGGUGUUGUUAAUAAACCUGUAGGGACAAUUAACA
rnacentral:lncRNA from 1 species